UAGAUUUUUGUCAUAAGCAAAAACGGAAGUGACGGAAAGAACAUGCAGCAACCGGUUGAUCUACCAGCUGAAGGUAGCAAUCCGGAAAGUCGCCGUACCCUUGCUCAUCUUUGAAUGCACCGAGG